ACUUAAAGAGGACGGCAGAUCAAGAGCAUCUCAUCCUCCGGCUGCUGAGUCAUCCUGCUCUGGCAGUUAUUUAAACAGAAGGCUCCAGGAGACAUACAAUCAACACUCCACUCAGACAAUGCCCAGACCUCCAGAAACCAUGUGUCAAGCUCGGAUUGCCUUAGACAGGUGCAAUUUAAGAACAGCUUUCAUCCUCUUUUCUCUCAUAUUGUCACACUAUGUGUUCUGACUUCUGGCUCCUUUCCUCACAAGAAGCUCACCCAGCUGGAACUCUUAUGGGACCUUGGCACCAGAGACCACAAAUUCCUCUUUGAAGUUUUCUAACAGCAACAAUGGUAUUUCUGACUUGGCUUUCUUGUAUUUCUCUCACGUUAACAAAAUUGGUUCAGCAUCUACCAUGGGCUACAUGCUGAGCUACAGAGUUUCGCUCUGUCGCCCAGGCUGGAGUGCAGUGGCGCGCGAUCUCGGUUCACUGCAAGCUCCACCUCCCGGGUUCACGCCAUUCUCCUGCCUCAGCCUCCUGAGUAGCUGGGACUACAGGCGCCCGCCACCACACCCAGGAAUCCAACUUGCUGUUUGCUAUCACAUGUGCUAUACAUGCUGUUGAUGAAACUGCUAAAGGGGCUGAAUGUGACUGACGUCUUUGGAAGGAUGAGACUUAGCGUGCCUGUACAGUUGUGUCCAAAUGCUGUCCUCAUCUCCCAAUGAAAAGCUGAACUAGGGCCAUGCCUGGGACAGACAGAGAAUGGCCUUCCAGCAGACAUGCCAAGAAGCAAGCCAGGGUCAGUGAGUGAAGAGGAGGGCAGGCCCAUUUGAAGCAACACAGUUUAUGAACAAAACCCAUCAGAAGAUGUCAGAAGAUAAGGAUUUUUGUCCUGAUGCUACACUUACCAGCUGUCCCUCAGUGUUCUACUUCUUAAAAAAAGAGAGAUGGAUAAACAGAGGCAACCCGAGGAUAAAGGCCUUGCUCAGUGUCACACAUUUCAGUCACUAAAUAAGACACAAUGGAUGCCAGUAUUCUCAUCCCCUCACAAAUAAAGAGCCUUCAAGCUCUUGCAGUCAACAAGAACUUUUGGAAUGAUUUCACUGCCUGAAAAGGCAGAUACAUAGGUGACACCCACAAAUAGGAAGAAAAUCAACCUGAACCUGAGUGUGUGGGCUCACUGACUCUAAGCAGUAGAGACAGAAGAAAAAGUUUUAGCAAAGAAGGGUUCUGAAAGAAAAUAAAUAUAGCUCGUUAUCAAGUGCUGUUUUUACACAGUAAAACAUGGGCAAAAUUACUCUUCUUUAAGUAGUAAUUCUUAUCUCUUGAUUAAGUCACCUACUCAUUCAUUUAAUAAAUACAUACUGAUUGUUUUC
rnacentral:lncRNA from 1 species